CAGGAUGAACGCUGGCGGCGUGCUUAACACAUGCAAGUCGAACGAAGCAUAGGAGUGGAAUUUUUCGGAAGGAAACAACUAUGACUGAGUGGCGGACGGGUGAGUAACGCGUGGGCAACCUGCCUCAUACAGGGGGAUAACAGUUAGAAAUGACUGCUAAUACCGCAUAAGCGCACAAAACCGCAUGGUUUGGUGUGAAAAACUGAGGUGGUAUGAGAUGGACCCGCGUCUGAUUAGCUAGUUGGAGAGGUAACGGCUCACCAAGGCAACGAUCAGUAGCCGACCUGAGAGGGUGACCGGCCACAUUGGGACUGAGACACGGCCCAAACUCCUACGGGAGGCAGCAGUGGGGAAUAUUGCACAAUGGGGGAAACCCUGAUGCAGCAACGCCGCGUGAGUGAAGAAGUAUUUCGGUAUGUAAAGCUCUAUCAGCAGGGAAGAAGAGAGACGGUACCUGACUAAGAAGCCCCGGCUAACUACGUGCCAGCAGCCGCGGUAAUACGUAGGGGGCAAGCGUUAUCCGGAUUUACUGGGUGUAAAGGGAGCGUAGACGGUUGCAUAAGUCUGAAGUGAAAGGCCAAGGCUUAACCAUGGAACUGCUUUGGAAACUAUGAGGCUAGAGUGCUGGAGAGGUAAGCGGAAUUCCUAGUGUAGCGGUGAAAUGCGUAGAUAUUAGGAGGAACACCAGUGGCGAAGGCGGCUUACUGGACAGAAACUGACGUUGAGGCUCGAAAGCGUGGGGAGCAAACAGGAUUAGAUACCCUGGUAGUCCACGCGGUAAACGAUGAAUGCUAGGUGUUCGCGGCAAAAGCCUAUUGGUGCCGUGGCGAACGCAAUAAAGCAUUCCUCGUGGGGAGUAAGUUGAGCACGAGAUGAAACUCAAAGGAAUAGACGGGGGCCCACACAAGCGAGUGGAGCAAUGGGGUUUAAUUAGAAGCAACGGGGAGAACGCUUGCCAACAUCUUGUACAUCCUCCUGAAUGAUGGGUAAACCCAUCAGGCCUUUGGGACAGGAGAGACACAGGGCGCAUGCAUUUGCUCUUCUGGUUUCGUGAGAUGUGGGGAUGAGUAUCGGAGCGGGCGUAUCCCCUAUCAUUCCUACCGAGCAAAGGAGAGCCGUGGGACUAUAGUGAGAAGUCGGGGGAGAACAGGGGUGUAGCAGUGGAUGACGUCAAAACAUCAUGCCCCUUAUGAUUAGUGCUACUCACUUUAUGCAAAGGUGGACCCUGAGGAAGCAGGAUGGAGGAGCCGGCGCGAACCACCAAAAUUUGCAUAUCUCUUCGGAUACGAGUGUGGAGCUCAAGCACUCGGAGAUAAAGUAGUUUGUUUUGGCGAAUAUGAAUGAGGCGGGGAACCAGUUUUCGUCUUUAGCACACACCACCCUUCA
rnacentral:rRNA from 1 species